rnacentral:rRNA from 1 species
AUUGAACGCUGGCGGCAGGCUUAACACAUGCAAGUCGAACGGAGAUAGUGUGCUUGCACAUUAUUUUAGUGGCGAACGGGUGAGUAAUGCCUAGGAAUCUGCCCAUUAGCGGGGGAUAACGUGUGGAAACGCACGCUAAUACCGCAUACGCCCUACGGGGGAAAGCAGGGGACUCUUUUAGAGCCUUGCACUAAUGGAUGAGCCUAGGUCGGAUUAGCUAGUUGGUGGGGUAAAGGCCUACCAAGGCGACGAUCUGUAGCGGGUCUGAGAGGAUGAUCCGCCACACUGGAACUGAGACACGGUCCAGACUCCUACGGGAGGCAGCAGUGGGGAAUAUUGGACAAUGGGGGCAACCCUGAUCCAGCCAUGCCGCGUGUGUGAAGAAGGCCUUUUGGUUGUAAAGCACUUUAAGCGAGGAGGAGGCUACCUGUAUUAAUACUAUAGGCUAGUGGACGUUACUCGCAGAAUAAGCACCGGCUAACUCUGUGCCAGCAGCCGCGGUAAUACAGAGGGUGCGAGCGUUAAUCGGAAUUACUGGGCGUAAAGCGCGCGUAGCGGUUUGUUAAGUCGGAUGUGAAAUCCCCGGGCUCAACCUGGGAAUUGCAUUCGAUACUGGCAAGCUAGAGUAUGGGAGAGGAAGGUAGAAUUCCAGGUGUAGCGGUGAAAUGCGUAGAGAUCUGGAGGAAUACCGAUGGCGAAGGCAGCCUUCUGGCCUAAUACUGACGCUGAGGUGCGAAAGCAUGGGGAGCAAACAGGAUUAGAUACCCUGGUAGUCCAUGCCGUAAACGAUGUCAACUAGCCGUUGGGGGAUUUGAUCCUUUAGUGGCGCAGCUAACGCGAUAAGUUGACCGCCUGGGGAGUACGGUCGCAAGACUAAAACUCAAAUGAAUUGACGGGGGCCCGCACAAGCGGUGGAGCAUGUGGUUUAAUUCGAUGCAACGCGAAGAACCUUACCUGGUCUUGACAUAGUGAGAAUCCUGCAGAGAUGCGGGAGUGCCUUCGGGAAUUCACAUACAGGUGCUGCAUGGCCGUCGUCAGCUCGUGUCGUGAGAUGUUGGGUUAAGUCCCGCAACGAGCGCAACCCUUUUCCUUAUUUGCCAGCACUUCGGGUGGGAACUCUAAGGAUACUGCCAGUGACAAACUGGAGGAAGGCGGGGACGACGUCAAGUCAUCAUGGCCCUUACGACCAGGGCUACACACGUGCUACAAUGGUCGGUACAAAGGGUUGCUAGACCGCGAGGUCAUGCUAAUCUCAAAAAGCCGAUCGUAGCCCGGAUUGGAGUCUGCAACUCGACUCCAUGAAGUCGGAAUCGCUAGUAAUCGCGGAUCAGAAUGCCGCGGUGAAUACGUUCCCGGGCCU